UAUUGUGAUGCUUCUGGCCAGCGCAUAAAUAUAGACAGAUCAUCCAUAUAUUUCAAUAAGGGAGUACCGGAGUCAACAAGGUUUGAAGUCAAGAACGUGCUAGAGGUACAAAAUGAAUCUUUGUCAGAAAAAUACUUUUGCCUGCCUACUGACAUGGGGAGCUCAAAGGAGGGUUGUUUUUGCUAUCUAAAGGACAUGAUUUGGAAACAUGUCGAAGGAUGGAUGGAGAAGUGCUUAUCUUCAGGAGGGAAAGACGUGCUUAUCAAAUCAUUCCCUCAAUCCAUACCUACAUAUUCAAUGGCCUGUUUUAAACUACCAAGAGGUCUUUGUGAGCACAUAAAUGGGCUACUUCGAAAGUUUUGGUGGGGCAGUAAACAAGGUGAAAGGAAGACCGCAUGGGUAUCUUGGAGUAGCAUGUGCAAGCCCAAGUUUAUGGGGGGUAUGGGAUUCAGGGAUAUGGAGCUUUUUGACCUCGCUCUGCUAGCUCGACAAGCUUGGAGACUUUUAAUGGACCUUGAUUCUCUCAGUGCGCGAGUUUUGAAGGCACGGUACUAUCCACAUUGUAACAUCGUCGACGCAACUUUGGAGAGCCACCCCUCUCACGUGUGGAGAUCAAUCAUGGAAGGCAAGGAGAUUCUUGCAUUGGGAGUUAUUAAGAGGGUAGGUUCAGGUGAGGAUACUAACAUCUGGCAUGAUACCUGGAUACCACGUGAUUAUAAACUCAGACCGAUUUGCCCAAUAUCUUUUAACCACCGCAAUAAGUUUCUGAGUUAA
rnacentral:rRNA from 1 species